UAAUACAGAGGGUGCAAGCGUUAAUCGGAAUGACUGGGCGUAAAGAGCACGUAGGCGGUGAGGUGUGUCACAGGUGAAAGCCCCGGGCUUAACCUGGGAAGGUCCUGUGAGACUAUCUGACUAGAAUAUAGGAGAGGUAAGUGGAAUUUCCGGUGUAGCGGUGAAAUGCGUAGAUAUCGGAAAGAACACCAGUGGCGAAGGCGACUUACUGGCCUAAUAUUGACGCUGAGGAGCGAAAGCGUGGGGAGCAAACAGG
rnacentral:rRNA from 1 species